rnacentral:misc_RNA from 1 species
GAUGAAGAACGUAGCGAAAUGCGAUAAGUAAUGCGAAUUGCAGAAUUCAGUGAGUCAUCGAAUCUUUGAACGCACAUUGCGCCCUGUGGUAUUCCGCAGGGCAUGCCUGUUCGAGCGUCAUUUCAACCAUCAAGCCCCCGGCUUGUGUUGGGGACCUGCGGCUGCCGCAGGCCCUGAAAACCAGUGGCGGGCUCGCUAGUCACUCCGAGCGUAGUAAUACAUCUCGCUCAGGGCGUGCUGCGGGUUCCGGCCGUUAAAAAGCCUUAUUUACCCAAGGUUGACCUCGGAUCAGGUAGGAAGACCCGCUGAACUUAAGCAUAUCAAUAAGCGGAGGA